rnacentral:rRNA from 1 species
UACGUAGGGACCAAGCGUUGUUCGGAUUUACUGGGCGUAAAGGGCGCGUAGGCGGCAAUUCAAGUCAUCUGUGAAAUCUUCGGGCUUAACUCGGAACGGUCAGAUGAUACUGUUUUGCUAGAGUGCAGAAGGGGCAAUCGGAAUUCUUGGUGUAGCGGUGAAAUGCGUAGAUAUCAAGAGGAACACCUGAGGUGAAGACGGGUUGCUGGGCUGACACUGACGCUGAUGCGCGAAAGCCAAGGGAGCAAACGGG